rnacentral:lncRNA from 1 species
GUUGCUUGUCUCAGAUACUGGAUGUAGAAAUCUAGACCCAGGUUAAGCCCACACAAAUAUAGCAAAAGAAUAUCAAAACAGAUUAGACACAAAAGUAAGAAAAUAUACUAAUGAAAGACAGAGAAAAAUGCUAACAGUAUAUUCACAGCAUUCAAGAUGCAAGAUCAAUAAUGCUAGAUCCAACUCAUAUAGUAACGAUUUCAAAUUAUGAAAUUAAGACUACAUCAAGAAAACAUAAGAGAGAGAAUACCAAACUGUGAUCAAAGUAGAGUACAUGAAGACUUGAUCAUACAUAACACUCAAUCCAGCCCUGCAGAAAAACCCACAUAUAUAACAUAUAGACACAGAAAACCAACAAAAAGUUCUACUUUCUUGCUAGGAGAGAUGAGAAGCGACACACCAAUGUUGACAGAACAUAAAAGAAAGAACCGAAGCCACAAAAGAACCAAAGAAACCAAAGAGUGAACCAGGUAACCAAAGAAACACAUCGUUGCUUGCUUAAACGGGUACGACGAUACAAUUCAGAGCUUAAGUGACCAACUGAAGCAUUGAGACCAAACCUCCAAAUAUUUUAGGGUAUGGAUUGAUUCUUUCCAAAAGAUGACAAUGUCAAGAACAGGAACAAGUGUUGACAAAAUAAAUAUCUACAGAUGAAAAAAUUGUAGAUGAGAUAAAUUGCUAAAAGUGGUGGGAGUCAUGGUGGUUUUUUUUUUGGGGGGGGGGGGGGUUCAAGCAUUGCAUAAUCUCAAUGGACUUAUCCUUCAAAUGGGCAUGAUUCAUCAAUUUUAGAGACUUCUCAGUUUUCAGAGGCUGCAAGGGUUUAAAAAGACAUCAGAAAUCAAUCAAGAGACACAAAGUAGAACAGGAGGUUAGGGAUUUAAGGAAGGUGAAUACCAUGGUUGAACAAAAGGAACUUGCACCCAGCAAAGCAAACGAAGGUGCCAGAUUUCAAAAAUAAACCCAAGUAACCAUAAGGAAAACCUCCAUGGCAAGACCCAAAAUGCUCUUAAAGGGGGAAUCAAAUCUGCAAUAAGUUAAAAUUAAUUAAAGAAAAAAGAUCCAGCAUCAAGAUAGUGGAGAUCAAAUUGAUCUUAUCAAAAUAAUAUCUGACCCACUUCAGGGAUUUAUCAAAACCUUUUGUAAAUAUGUAUGCUUUGGGUCUUUCCCACCCUUUUGGUAAGAAUUACUAUCCUACCUGCAAUAUGCACAAAAAUGGAACAAGUUGGCAUCAACAAUGCUAUACAAUAAGAGCUAAUACUGUGCAAUCAUUUCCCUUGAAGUCCAUUUCUAGGCCCUGAGCUAUAAGCAGAAUUGGAAGAAAAGCAUGAACUUCUAUACCAUGCUUUGAAAAAUACUGGUAAACCAAACAAUUAUUAAAUGAUCAAAGAGUCCAUAUGCAUACAUAAUGCAUUAGCAUAGGCAUAAAUAAAAAUAUGGAUAUGUUUUACCUUUUCUAUCAAACUAAUAUAUAUGAUGCAGAUAUGAGUAUUAUAUCAUCUGAAUGAAUGCCAAUUGAUUUGGAAGAUCCUCAUCAUCAUCUAGCAUGCAAAGGAAAACUAAAACCAAGAACAUGUUUGAAUAGAUUAAUUAGAGUAAGCAGGGUCCACCAAUCUGCAUCCAUGUUUCAAAACAUGCAGCAGAUAAAGAUAUUGUUUCAUUAUCUAUUUAUUUACAAGGUAGAAUUAUCUUUUUUGUAUAGACAAAAAAGUUUUCCUUUUCAUGAACAACACAAUAUCAGCAAUACAAAAAUGAUAAUAUUUUUUUUGAAUUAGAAAUGAUUAUAUUUUUAAAAUAAUAGAAAAAGAAAAGUGAAGACCAACACUCGCUACAAAGGUUUGAUGGGCCAAAUCAAGCCUCACUGCAUGCCCCAACUGUUCCUGAUCAUUCGUUUUAAGUGCUUACUAAAGGAUCAUAGACAAAUACUAUUAAAGGUGAUUGUAUAAAAUAAUGGAUAACCUUGUGCGCUCAUGAUGGCCCCUGUUUAAUAAAAAAAUUCAGAGAACAUCUUAACAUCAAAAAUUUUCAAGAUAAUUGCUGAAGAUCUUCGAAAGGGAGAAAGAGAUGAAGCAUUCUGCUAGCUGUGAUCUUUAAAAGCAAUUAUUUUAAGAAAAAAGUUGAAGGGUUUCUAAGUUACAGAGUUAGGAUGACAAUCAAUGUUGAUCUAUGUUAUGUGCUGAAGAAUUGAUCACUACUUCAAACAAAAAAGAAAAGUGUACUUUCUGAGUUGCUUUUUCAAUGGCAAAUUCAAUGACCAAAUAAUCUCUUGAAGCAUCUACCAUCAGCAAAAGUCGACCAGAGUUCAACAAUUUCACCUUCUUGUUAAAAAGAAUUCAGCCAUACAGAGUGAAGAAGCACAUAAAACAUGUGCACAUAUGUAUAUUAUAUAACUGAAAGGCAUUUAGAUGCUUUAGAAGAUGGUGCACACACAUCAGGUAUUUAACCAGGUUUGCUUCAGACCACUGCCCACUAUUAGUAUCAAGUUCAGAUAGAAUUAAUUGGAGGCCCCACUCAUUCUGAUUUGAGAAGAUAUGGAUCCACUAUGAAGGUAUUCAACAAAUGAUCAGAGAAGCAUGGCAGUGCAAGGGACACCACCACUCACCCGGUAUCAAACUCACCAUCCUUCUCAACAAAACAAAGGAAGCCUUGAUUAAGUGGAGGACGAGAAUUGGGAAUAUCUUCAAAAGAGGACAAUCUCUAAAAGAAAAAACAUUGGAAAUCCAGCUAAUACUGUCACUCAGGAACAAAAUGAGAUAUUGAUCAGGGUGGUGGCUGAAGAUGAAGUGGAAGAGGCAAUUAGAAGCAUGGCACCUGAUAAAGCUCCCGGUCUAGAUGGGUUUCAAGCAUUGUUUUUCCAUGAAUUUUGGCAUAUUAUCAGGAAGGAGGUUAUCAGUGCAGUUAAAUAUUUCUUCAACACUGGUAGAAUGCCGACUUCAUGGAAGAAGACCUGUAUUGUGCUAAUUCCUAAAACAAGCAACCCAAAAAGCCUAAAUGAUUAUAGGCCUAUUAGCCUCUGUAAUACUAUAUACAAAGUAGCUAUAAAAAUCCUUGUUAAUAGACUACGACCUAUUAUCACUUCAUUAAUUUUUGAAGAGCAAGGAGCCUUCAUCCCAGGCCAUGGCAUCCCUGAUAACAUUUUACUCGGCCAAGAAAUUAUGCAUUCUCUGAUGAGAGCUCCGCUUUCCAAAAGUCUAAUGGCAAUUAAACUUGAUAUGGAAAAGGCUUAUGACAGGAUUCAUUGGCCUUUUCUUAUAAGGUCCUAGCUACUUCCGGCUUCCAUCAUAAAUUUAUUCAGUGGGUACAAGAGUGUGCAACAAAUUUCCAGUUUGCCUUAUUGAUCAAUGGCACACCUACAGAUUGGUUUCACGCAUCCAGGGGACUUCGGCAAGGAUGCCUGUUAUCCCCCUACUUAUUUAUCCUAUGUACUGAAAUUUUUUCCAGGCUUCUGCACCUUGCUGUACAAUAUGAAGAAUUAAGAGUUUUCAAGCCAGGAAGACAAGGUCCAAAAUUAUCACAUACUUUUUUUGCAGACGACUGCUUAUUAUUAGCUAGAGCAACCAUCAGAGAUAGCUUAUGUCUUCAAGUCAUCCUAAAUCUAUAUUGCCCAAUGUCAGGUCAGGCGGUUAACACUGAAAAAUCACAUAUCAUAUUUAGUCCCUCAACCCCAAGAACAACAAAAAGAAGGAUUCGCACUGUGUCACAGAUAGUCGAGAAGCAAGGAGUUUGGAAAUAUUUAGGAGUUCCCAUUUCAGGUAUGCCUCUGGGAUCAUCUGAAUUUAAUUUUCUAAUGGAGAAAAUGCUAGGAAAGAUUGCGAUCUGGAAAUGGAGGGCCUUAUCUCUAGCCGAACGUGCAACUCUGCUCCAAUCAGUGCUCUCAUCCAUCCCUCUAUACUGCAUGUCAUGCCUACAUAUUCCAUUAGCAGUGUUGCAUAGAAUGGAGAAAGAACUCCAAGCUUUUUUAUGAGGACCUUCAUCAGAGAGAAGGGGUCCACAUCUCAUUUCAUGGCACUACACUUGUUUACCUUGGGAGAGUGGAGAUCUUGGCAUAUGUUCCCUGCUAGUUAGAAGACAGGCUUAUUUAUGUAAGCUGGCUGCUCAUCUGGUGCUUAACCCUUCCUCUCUGUGGGCACAGGUGGUCAGUGCCAAGUACCGGUUCACACGAUCAUGGCGCAACUACAAGAGGCCGAAUAGAUGCUCUUCAAUCUGGACUAAAAUUACCUCAUAUGGAUCAAAGGUCCAUUAUCAGUUUCAGUGGAAUGUAUGUAAUGAUAUCUAUUGCACUUUUGAAUGACCCUUGGGUGGACACUAUUCCUCUUAAUAAGUGGCCCACUUUUAUUAACAUGGAUAUGGACUGCACACAAAUGUGGGUCCAGAAUUUGAUUGACUCAAACAGAGAAUGGAACAUUACUCUAUUGUCUACUCUGUUAGCAUAUUGUCAUUUGAGGACAUUUAUGUGAUUGUUUUCUUUGUAGGAGUCUUUUUAUUAUUUUGUGAUCAUAUAUAUAUGGGUCCAUACACUUGUUAAGAUUGAUAAAUGAUUGAUUGAAUGAUGAACUUAGGAAAGAACUUGUCCUCCGAAAGGUGUCCACUUUAGACCAGGCAUAUACAUUCGUGCAAAACUAUGAGCAGGUCUCCAAGUCCAUGUUUGUGAGACGCUCUGACAAUCAGGGCACUUCCACUAGUCCCCAUUCUUCAGGGUCCAAACCUUCUGUAGGGUCCUCUGCCCCUAAAACCCCUUCUACAGCUCCUAUCCCAAGCCGAAACACUAAAGGUAGGAAAAUUCUCGGUGAACCCCCAAAGCCAACCCUAGAAUUCAGUGCUAUAAAUGUCAAGGUUUCGAUCACGUUGCCUCUCAAUGUGCCAAUACGCCUCUAGUUAUUGAUCAACAAGACUUAGAAAAUAACACAGAUGACUUCGAGGAACAAGUCUAUGAACCAAACAUCGAUGACAUUCAAGACAUUAAUGAGAAAGCGCGUGAUAACAAACCUAAUACCCUAGGAUGCAUCCGCGCUACACCUAUAUCCAUUGCAUCUUUAGAGAGAGAGUCUAACUCGUCCACUCUAAGUGUAGUCCACAUCCUGCAUCCCGUUGAAUUUGAAACUUAGGGUUACAUAAUGAUCCAUAUUAAGGAAGUGCGAUCUCUUAAUGUUGGACCAUUCAGGGUGUUGCACAAGGAUGGCACUGAUGCCUAUGCCAUUGACUUCUCAUUUGAUUUUGGUAAUAUCCUUACUUUUAAUAUCAAAGAUUUGGUUGCAAUCCCUGAUGACCUUUUUGCUGAACCCUCUCCUGAGCCAAUUGCUUAUCCUAUUACUGAUUCCAUGCCAUCUUCGUCUCCUUUUCUCCUUCAUCGAGCAUGAAAAGAGUAUAUUGAUUUUAUUUUAGCCGAACAAAUAGUUUUUGCCAGUGAUGGAGGCAUCCGGCGUUUUCUGGUUCGUUGGCGAGGACGACCAAAUUUUGGCUAUACUUGAAUCCCACGCGAGGAGCUGCAGCAGAUUGACCCGGACUUGUUCGAGUACUACCGGGGCUACACCGAGCCACUUUCGUCACGGUCGACUUCUUUCCAUCCGGAGAGAGUUGGUGCGGACAACAGUGCCAGGUCAGCCGGUCGCCACAGGAUCCAGCCAGUUCAACGGGUUCAGUCAAUUCAGCGGGUUCAGCCAUUUCAGCUAGUUUUGGAUUGAUUUUAUGUGAUUUUAUUUUGUUCUAUUUUAUGUUGAUUGGGCUUGUUUGCAUAUUGUCAUUUGAAGACCUUUAUGGGAUUGUUUUUUUUUUUUGUAGGAGUCUUUUUGUUAUCUUGUGACCCUAUAUAUAUAUAUAUAUAUAUGGUUCAUGUACUUGUUAGGUAUUAAUUAGNNNNNNNNNNNNNNNNNNNNUUGUUUGCAUAUUGUCAUUUGAAGACCUUUAUGGGAUUGUUUUUUUUUUUGUUUAGGAGUCUUUUUGUUUAUCUUGUGACCCUAUAUAUAUAUAUAUGGGUUCAUGUACUUGUUAGGAUUAAUUGAAUGAAUUAGCCUCUUUUUUUCUCUGAAACUCUUGCGUGAAGCCAUGGCCAGAGCCAGGUGAGAAGCCUGGUUCUCUUUCUUUCCCUCCUCUUCUCUACUUCUUUCUUCUUCCCUCUUCUCCCUGCAGUUGUUCUGCAUCAAUCUAAUGCCAGAAUUUACAGCUAUUUUGCAGGCUGAUGCAAUAGGAGUAGCAUUUCAGAGAAGGAAGCUGUUUCAACCUUCAGGUUCAGUGAUGAUUGGCACAUCCUUAUGGUUUCAACGGGAGCCAGAUGUGUUAUUUUUACCUCUUCUUACUAUAAUAUAGCUAGUAUGUAUGCUGAGGUUUUUGUAUUUCUGUAAUCCUUGUUCUGAUUCCUAUUGUAUCCUGACCUUGUUGUUAGCUUUAAGCCCUUACUUGUACCAAAAAAAAGCCAACUAAUUAUAUCAUGGCACAUUCUUCCAAGGCACAACAAUAAUUGAUGGACAAAAAACAAUUGAACUUUCACAAUGAAAAAUGGCCUUAAAGUCUGUUGCGCGUAUAUCUAAUGGCCAAAAGGUGCAGAAUAGGCUUAAAUAAUGCCCUUAAAGAUCUUCUCAUUUUUACUUCAUUGCAUCUUUGUGAGGGUCAAAAUAACCAAGAGAGGAAUACGUGCAGAAUUUUUCUGGCCCAAGAUACUGUCAUGGGCUUUUAGCAUAUCCACGACGGGGCAGAAAAACAUUUGAAAUAUUUUCAAACCAACUAAAAAAUCGACAAAUUCAAGAAAUUCAAGAAAAAUAAUAAAAUAUGAAUAUUUAUAUGCCAAUUUAGCAAUUACCUUUAAUGCAUGUACCCAUGAUACUCUCUCGAAGGCAGUCCAAUUGAAAAAGCAAAGAAGACUCAGGGCUGACUUAAAAUUCACAAAAUUUAGAGGCAAGGAAACAUCACACCAAAUCUCAAUCAAGUAACAAAUACAUCAAAAAUGUCAAAACAAAAAACCGCAUCUACAUAUUAAUAAAUAAAAGAAGAAUACCAAAUGGAGAAACUACAAAGAUAAGGAAAACAAAAUGAUCAACUACGCAAGAAAACCCAAGGCUUAAUUUCCCAAAACAAAAAAAAAAGAAAAAGAAAUAUCAAGAGGCGAGAAACAAAACCCUAGAUCCAACUCAAACAAUAAAAGACCUCAGACAAUGAAAUUAAGCUCACAUCAAAAUAAUGGGAAAAAAGAAGAAUCCCAAAAGAGUACCAAAUAGAAGAUAUGAUAAGAAAAAUAAACUGAUAGGAAAAAUCAGAGACACCCAAAAAAAUUCAAGAAGCAAGAAAUACAACAUUAUAUUGAAAUUAAGACGACAACAACUAAUAAAAGAAUGACAAAAGAAUGAUAAAACAGGUAAAAUACAAAAAAUAAAAAAAUAGACCGAUCAAGAAACUUAGAAGACCCAAGGAUAACGUAAGAUUCAUGGCGAGGUCUUAGAAAAGGGAUCAGAAAUCUACAAGAAACCAAAAACGAGAGAGAGACAUACGGAGAAAGAGAUACAAGUGAGAGUUAGGAAUGGAAGGAAGGGAGAAUACCGUGGUGGAAGGAGAGGAACUGAAUUCCGAGGCCAAGGUCGAGGCCGGCAAUGGCUGGCGAGGUCCUCCUAACUGAGUGCCGCUCGCAGAGGACCAAGCAACGGUCGCCGCCGCCGCUCUCGUCUCCUCCGUCGUCGGUUUCUCGAACCCCUUCCCUUGAGACUUGGAGAUCUUUUACCGCUCA